GGCUGGAUGGCGCAGCGGCAGCGCGCAUGCUUAACAGAAUACGGCAGUUCGCCAAUUCACGCAUAAGGUCGUCGGUUCGAUCCCGGCUCUAGUCA